rnacentral:rRNA from 1 species
UGGACCGCUAGAGUUGCUAGUCGAGCGGAUGAGUGGAGCUUGCUCCAUGAUUCAGCGGCGGACGGGUGAGUAAUGCCUAGGAAUCUGCCUGGUAGUGGGGGACAACGUUUCAAAAGGAACGCUAAUACCGCAUACGUCCUACGGGAGAAAGUGGGGGAUCUUCGGACCUCACGCUAUCAGUUGAGCCUAGGUCGGAUUAGCUAGUUGGUGAGGUAGGGGGUGGCCAAGGCGACGAUCCGUAACUGGUCUGAGAGGAUGAUCAGUCACACUGGAACUGAGACACGGCCAGACUCCUACGGGGGGGCAGCGGUGGGGA